rfam:Triticum aestivum genome assembly, contig: Triticum_aestivum_CS42_TGACv1_scaffold_557488_7AL
CCUCUCACCGACGACGACAUGGUGUCCUACAUCCUUGCGGGGCUCGAUUUCGACUACAUGUCGUUCGUCUCCACCAUCUGCGCCCGAACUGAAUCCAUCAAGGUGAGCGAGCUUUACUCGCAGCUCAUUAACUUUGAAA